GCUAUUACCGUGUUGCUUGUCUGUUCUAUUAAUCCUAACGAGUUGGCGAGCGUCAAGCUAUUGGCGAGAGUA